CUCACUGUGAAGUUCAAGGCCUCGGGACCUUAGAAGAACUCAAGAGAAAAGAGAAAAGGGAAGUGAAUGUCUUUGCUUGGAAUCAACCCACUGGCUGUCACAGUGCACCCUGCAGCAUAGGAAAUCCAGCAACAAUGCAAGGAUAUCUUUGGAGGAACACAGGAUCCCAAAACCUGUCCAGGAUCAUUACAGUCUUCCCUUUCCUCUAGCAGCUGGAGGCAGAAUGAUCACCCCAGCCACUUAAUAAUGAGACAGUCCUCCGUGAACUUCCCCAAAGUGAGCCCUUCCAAUGGGCUGCAGUUCUCCACAAGCAGCUCCAGUGUGAGUUCCUUACAAAAGGUGCAGUCCUGCAGAAUUAGAUUUCUUCAGCAUUAUUCCUCCCAGGGUCACAAGUAUUGCUGGCAAACCUGCAUGGGCUCCUUUCCUUCCAAAAGCCCUGACAGAAGCCUAUUCCAGUGUGGACUUCUCAAGGGGUCAUAAACCUCCUUUGGGCAUCCACCUACAGUGCUGUGGGACACUCCAGAGGCUGCAGGUGGAUGUCUGCUCACUUGUGGGGAUCCAUGUGCUACAGGAGAAAGUCUGCCUCGCCAUGGUGUGCACUGUGGGCUGAGCAGGAGAACCUCUGCUCCAGCAUCUGGAACAGUUUCUUUCAUAUA